rnacentral:rRNA from 1 species
GAUGAACGCUGGCGGCGUGCCUAAUACAUGCAAGUCGAGCGAACGGACGAGAAGCUUGCUUCUCUGAUGUUAGCGGCGGACGGGUGAGUAACACGUGGAUAACCUACCUAUAAGACUGGGAUAACUUCGGGAAACCGGAGCUAAUACCGGAUAAUAUUUUGAACCGCAUGGUUCAAAAGUAAAAGACGGUCUUGCUGUCACUUAUAGAUGGAUCCGCGCUGCAUUAGCUAGUUGGUAAGGUAACGGCUUACCAAGGCAACGAUGCAUAGACGACCUGAGAGGGUGAUCGGCCACACUGGAACUGAGACACGGUCCAGACUCCUACGGGAGGCAGCAGUAGGGAAUCUUCCGCAAUGGGCGAAAGCCUGACGGAGCAACGCCGCGUGAGUGAUGAAGGUCUUCGGAUCGUAAAACUCUGUUAUUAGGGAAGAACAUAUGUGUAAGUAACUGUGCACAUCUUGACGGUACCUAAUCAGAAAGCCACGGCUAACUACGUG